GACGAACGCUGGCGGCGUGCUUAACACAUGCAAGUCAAGGGGGCCCAGCAAUGGGCAACCGGCGAACGGGUGCGUAACACGUGAGCAACCUACCGAAAUGUGGGGGAUAGCCGGCCUAACGGCCGAGUAAUACCGCAUACGCUCUCGAUGAGGCAUUUCAUUGAGAGGAAACCUACGGGACAUUUCGAGGGGCUCGCGGCCUAUCAGCUAGUUGGAGAGGUAACGGCUCACCAAGGCGACGACGGGUAGCUGGUCUGAGAGGAUGGCCAGCCACAUUGGGACUGAGAUACGGCCCAGACUCCUACGGGAGGCAGCAGUGGGGAAUCUUGCGCAAUGGCCUAACGGCUGACGCAGCGACGCCGCGUGUAGGAUGAAGCUCUU
rnacentral:rRNA from 1 species